AGUGGACGGUGUGCGUAGUGUCCAUCUGCGUUUAGUGCCGUCUCCGGUUUGUGUCUUACAGGCUGUGAGACGGUUCUCACACCACACUCACAGCCACAGAUCCACUGGAGAUCAUAGUACUGGCCCAGUGACGUCUAAAUGACCGUCCACCACUGGCCAGCCUCCAUAGUCUCCUACAAGA
rnacentral:snoRNA from 1 species